UCAGAUCUGCAAAGAAGCCAGGACACAAAAAGCGGCGACCACGGCAUGGCUGCAAAAUCAUCGGUUGCAUGCGAAAAUCGCAUGCCAUCCGGUGAUUUACCAAGCCAAGAUAUGGGUCGGAUCGUCUUUAUGCCCAACCUGAUUAGCCCAGAAUUCGAAUACUUCAUUAUCAUUAUCUUUAUCAUCGCCUCUAAUUAUACACAUCCAAAAAUGAGAAAAUCAAUCAACGUACGUAGAGAUUAUGGAAACAGAAAAAGACAUAAUUGUUGUAGAUUUGGAAAAUUGGAAGUUGAUGAAUAUAUAUAUAUAUAUAUAUAUGCAGUAGUACAUAUGUAGUAUGUAUGUAUGUUUUCCAUAAUCCAAUAAUUUCCAGAAAAUUAAAGAAUUUCAAGGGCUGUUGCUUUUUUAUUUUUGUGGAAAACUCAUAGGCUAAACAAAGAGGAGCAACCACUGUAGACAUUGGAAUUUUUGUGGAUUUGACAAAAAGAGUUCAAUUUUGUUUGGAACGGAGGAAGUAUAAGGUAAAGGAAAUACAAAAUAAACUAGUAAGACAAUGAUUAGAAACGAAUUUGAAAAGAAAUUGUAGUCAACAAUCUUUCUAUCUAUAGGCUGGUUGUGCUCGAAAAUACUUAACGAGCGAACGUAAUAGCAAGAAAAUAGUGAAACUAUCGAAGGAAACAAAGAAAACUAAAGAACAAAUCUAAAGAUUUUUAGCCAAUGUAUUUAUAGGGUAUAGAGUCUUUUCUAUGGCCAAUGGAAUAAUGUUAUUUUGAAAUCCAUAUCGUAUCAUUAUCAAUGAACAAUAAUCACUUGUCCUUGAGCUUUGAAGGUUGCCGGCCCAAUACUGCGUGUCUGACACGUUGUUUAGCCGAGGAUCGCUUAUGCACCUAAGCAAUCAGACAAAUCGUCCUUUUGUCUCUCCUGUUGUAUACGAUCAUAUCACCAAUAGUCUCGGAAUCUUUUGAUCUCGCUCGAGAAGAUAUUUUUAGGCAUUGAUAUUGCCCUCAAGACUUUGAAGGUUGCCGGCCCAAUAUUGCGUGUCUGACAUUGUUUAGCCGAGGAUCGCUUAUGCACCUAAGCAAUUCGACAAAUAGUCCUUUUGUCUCUUCCAUUGUAUACGAUCACAUCACCGAUGGUCUCGGGCUCCUUCGCUCUCGCUCGAGAAGAUAUUUCUAGGCAUAGAUAUUGCCCUCAAGACGACACCAUUGUGGAUUUGUUCUUUCUAUAUCCACUUCCAAUUGGCUCAAACCCUACCGAAGCUAAUUUGUACCAAUAUAAAUUAUUCGAAGACCAUAAAUUCGAAAGAUGAUUUCAUGAACGAUUCUUGCUCGUGUUUGAAGAUUCAAUUUGCAUUUGUGGUUAGGCUUCAAGAGCUAAAUAUUAAUUUUAUGUUAAAUUAAAAUAUGUGAUUAAUUAUGAGUUGAUGUCUACAUUACAUGCAAGUAAUCCAGUUGAUAUGCUUUCACUGCGUAUGUCUGUUUUCCAACAUAUAUGACACCACAACCAUGGGUAUUCAAGCAACAUAUACCCGCAUUUGACAUAAAUCUCUUUAAUAGAUCAUCAUAUGAUUAUUUGUAUUAAAAUUUCACUGACAACUAACAACACUAGACAAACUAUUUGGUGGUGUAUAAUAAAGAACAAGUUGUAACACCGCCUAAGCUAAUAAAGCUAUUCAUGAAUUAUACUCUCAUACUAAAGUUCUGAUAAUUUAUGUCCUCUGUUAUUCAUCAUUAUUACUUGGGAGUAUCAUAUGCUAAUAAGCCUAGUGUUUAGUUACAGUUUCAUAUGUCUACUCAUUGCGUAUUUAGCACAGCAGUUGGUGAGCUAACGUUCUCAUCCGGAACACAUAGACUUCAAGAGCUCAUUAAUUAUAAAUAAAAAUUAAAACAAUUUAAUAGUAAAAGUCUAUUAAUCCAUGCUCUAUAUUCUUUUUCGUUAUUUGUCUCGCAAACACACCUUUUUUAAAAAAUUAUUCAAAUAAACCUGUUUAUUAAAACACACUUUUCAAAUAAAAUAAUCAAACACCUUUUCCUCAAACUAAUUUAUAAAAAUACUUUUUGAAAUAAGCAGUUUUCUAAUAUCAAUCCCAAACGAAAUCUAAAACGAAGAGAGUGAUCAUUUAGAGGCUCAGAUGUGCAAAGAGGUCAGAACACAAAGAUAGAUGACCACGCCAUGGCUGCAAAAUCACCGGUUGCAUGCGAUGAUCGCAUGCCCUCCGGUGAUUUUACCAAUCCAAGAUACGGGUCGGAUAGUCUCUAUGCCCGACCCGGUUAGCCCAGAAUCCGAAUACAUCAUUAUCAUCACUGCCUCUAAUAUAUAUCCAAAAAAAAAAAGAGAAAAUCAACCAACAAACAUAGAGGUUAAAGAAACAAAAGAAAGCCAGAGUUAAUGUUGAUGUGGAAAAUUGGAAGUUGUAUAAGCAUGUUCUUCCAUGUUUAAUGAUUCAAGAAUUUCCAAGAAACUAAAUAAACAUGAAUCACAAGGGUUGUUGCUUUGCUUUUUAAAUUUUUGUUGAAAGAAUCAUAGGCUAAACAAAGAGGGGCAACCACCCUUGUUAAGAAAAUACCAAAAACUCUUUGUUUUGCCUCAUUUUCUUUCUUGGGCUAACCUUUUCUUUGCUAGGAAAAAUGAUUUUCCACCUUUCACUUUGUGAUUUCUUUUCUUUGUUAUUAUAUGUAGUCUAGUAGAAUCUAGAGUGGUUAUGUGUCUUAUACUGUGGAAAGAUAUGUUGGUUGUUUGUGUAUAUUUGGAACAAAUUUCUAAGUCAUUUUGUUUGAAUACUC
rnacentral:lncRNA from 1 species